UAACGCGUAUGUAACCUACCUAUAACAGGGGCGAUAACACUGAGAAAUUGGUACUAAUUCCCCAUAAUAUUCGGAGAGGCAUCUCUCCGGGUUGAAAACUCCGGUGGUUAUAGAUGGACAUGCGUUGUAUUAGCUAGUUGGUGAGGUAACGGCUCACCAAGGCAACGAUACAUAGGGGGACUGAGAGGUUAACCCCCCACCACUGGUACUGAGACACGGACCAGACUCCUACGGGAGGCAGCAUG
rnacentral:rRNA from 1 species